rnacentral:rRNA from 1 species
UACGGAGGGGGCUAGCGUUGUUCGGAAUUACUGGGCGUAAAGCGCGCGUAGGCGGACCUGCAAGUCGGGGGUGAAAGCCCGAGGCUCAACCUCGGAACUGCCUUCGAUACUGCGGGUCUCGAGUCCGGGAGAGGUGAGUGGAAUUCCUAGUGUAGAGGUGAAAUUCGUAGAUAUUAGGAAGAACACCAGUGGCGAAAGCGGCGACCUGGCUCGACACUGACGCUGAGGCGCGAAAGCUAGGGGAGCAAACGGG